GGGAAAGGACUGUUUAAACAGAGGGGGAAAAGAGGAGAGGAAAGGGGGUGGAGUUGAGGACUAUGUUAUGGUAUCAGAGGAGGAGAAGAGCGGGAAUAUAUCUUUAGGAAGAAGAGAAGAGAGAAUAUAUCUGUAGGAAGAAGAGAAGAGGGAAUAUAUCUUUAGGAAGAAGAGAAGAGAGGGAAUAUAUCUGUAGGAAGAAGAGAAGAGAGAGAAUAUAUCUUUAGGAAGAAGAGAAGAGAGGGAAUAUAUCUUUAGGAAGAAGAGAAGAGAGGGAAUAUAUCUGUAGGAAGAAGAGAAGAGAGGGAAUAUAUCUGUGUAGGAAGAAGAGAAGAGAGGGAAUAUAUCUGUAGGAAGAAGAGAAGAGGUAAUAUAUCUGUAGGAAGAAGAGAAGAGAGGGAAUAUAUCUGUAGGAAGAAGAGAAGAGGGAAUAUAUCUGUAGGAAGAAGAGAAGAGGUAAUAUAUCUGUAGGAAGAAGAGAAGAGAGGGAAUAUAUCUGUGUAGGAAGAAGAGAGGAUAGGGAAUAUAUCUGUAGGAAGAAGAGAAGAGAGGGAAUAUAUCUGUGUAGGAAGAAGAGAAGAGAGGGGGAUUAUAUCCGUGCUCCAGAGAAGGAGAGGGAGGGGGAAUGGGCAUGUGGUAUAGGAGGAGAGUAAAAGGGGAAUGGGUAUGUGGUAUAGGAGGAGAGUAAAGGGGGAAUGGGUAUGUGGUAU
rnacentral:lncRNA from 1 species